UACGUAGGGUGCAAGCGUUGUCCGGAAUUAUUGGGCGUAAAGAGCUCGUAGGCGGUUUGUCGCGUCGGCUGUGAAAACCUAGGGCUCAACCCUGGGCUUGCAGCCGAUACGGGCAAACUAGAAUUCGGUAGGGGAGACUGGAAUUCCUGGUGUAGCGGUGAAAUGCGUAGAUAUCAGGAAGAACACCGGUGGCGAAAGCGCUCUGCUAGGCCGCAACUGACACUGAGGGACGAAAGCUAGGGGAGCGAAUGGG
rnacentral:rRNA from 1 species